rnacentral:rRNA from 1 species
UACGUAGGGUCCGAGCGUUGUCCGGAAUUAUUGGGCGUAAAGAGCUCGUAGGCAGUUUGUCGCGUCUGCUGUGAAAUCCCGAGGCUCAACCUCGGGUCUGCAGUGGGUACGGGCAGACUGGAGUGCGGUAGGGGAGAAUGGAAUUCCUGGUGUAGCGGUGGAAUGCGCAGAUAUCAGGAGGAACACCGAUGGCGAAGGCAGUUCUCUGGGCCGUAACUGACGCUGAGGAGCGAAAGCGUGGGGAGCGAACCGG